AUAAGCGGAGGAAAAGAAACCAACAAUUGCCCUAGUAACGGCGAGUGAAGCGGCAACAGCUCAAAUUUGAAAUCUGGCUCUCGGGCCCGAGUUGUAAUUUGUAGAGGAUGCUUUUGGUGAGGUGCCUUCCGAGUUCCCUGGAACGGGACGCCAUAGAGGGUGAGAGCCCCGUCUGGUUGGACACCGAGCCUCUGUAAAGCUCCUUCGACGAGUCGAGUAGUUUGGGAAUGCUGCUCUAAAUGGGAGGUAUAUGUCUUCUAAAGCUAAAUAUUGGCCAGAGACCGAUAGCGCACAAGUAGAGUGAUCGAAAGAUGAAAAGCACUUUGAAAAGAGAGUUAAAAAGCACGUGAAAUUGUUGAAAGGGAAGCGCUUGUGACCAGACUUGGGCUUGGUUAAUCAUCCGGCGUUCUCGCCGGUGCACUUUUCCAGUCCAGGCCAGCAUCAGUUUGCCUUGGGGGAUAAAAGCUUCGGGAAUGUGGCUCCUCCGGGAGUGUUAUAGCCCGUUGCACAAUACCCUGGGGCGGACUGAGGUUCGCGCAUUCGCAAGGAUGCUGGCGUAAUGGUCAUCAGCGACCCGUCUUGAAACACGGACCAAGGAGUCGUCUUCGUAUGCGAGUGUUCGGGUGUCAAACCCCUACGCGUAAUGAAAGUGAACGCAGGUGAGAGCUUCGGCGCAUCAUCGACCGAUCCUGAUGUUCUCGGAUGGAUUUGAGUAAGAGCAUACGGGGCCGGACCCGAAAGAAGGUGAACUAUGCCUGUAUAGGGUGAAGCCAGAGGAAACUCUGGUGGAGGCUCGCAGCGGUUCUGACGUGCAAAUCGAUCGUCAAAUAUGGGCAUGGGGGCGAAAGACUAAUCGAACCUUCUAGUAGCUGGUUUCCGCCGAAGUUUCCCUCAGGAUAGCAGUGUUGAACUCAGUUUUAUGAGGUAAAGCGAAUGAUUAGGGACUCGGGGGCGCUAUUUAGCCUUCAUCCAUUCUCAAACUUUAAAUAUGUAAGAAG
rnacentral:rRNA from 1 species